ensembl:lncRNA
CUGGUAUGAAUGCUUGCAAUGAAAUGCUUUGUCCCGGAAGUGACGUAACUGAUCUGUUUGCAUUUCACUGGUCAGAGCAAGCCGCGUGGCCCGUCCUAACUUCCUGGGGGCGAGGACGUAAAGGAGAGCAAAUGAAAUGCUUAACCCCACAGUUCUUCAGAAAAGAUAGGUCUGAACGAGCCCCAGUUUUUCGUUCAUGAACUCAACUGAUGUCCCUGGAACCUUGGGAGAGUUAAAUUCUCUGAACAGACAAAACUUUAAAGGAACGAAAGAAGUCCUGUCGGAAGCUGCUUGAGGAGAAGGGAAACACCAUCUUGAUCAAUCCUUAGGGACCUGCACUCUCAGAGAUGGAUGCGGAUGCCACAUGGAAUGCAGGAUCAUCGUUCUCCGACCAGGGAUCAAAACUCACACUCCUUGAAUAGGAAGAUGGAGUCAUAACCACUGGGCCGCCAGGGAAGUCCCACACCUUCAUUUUUAUAGGUUAUAUUUUCUGAAUAUGCAAUUACAGGCUAACAGCGGUUGACUGGGUCCCCUUUCCCUCUCCCUUUAGCAAUUUUAAAAUGUCAUUCUGUGUCUCUUAACUUGUGUUGGUUUUGAUAACAAGUCAAUCAUAAUUCUUAUCAUAGGUCCCUGUAUGUAAUGUUUCUUUCUCUUGGGCUGUUUUAAGUAUUUUCUCUUACCAUUGAUUUUCAGCAGUGUAAUCAAUGAGUUUUGGUAUGAUUUCCUUUGUGAUUAUCUCUCUUGGUGCUUGUACUUUUUAGACCAGGGUGAUGAUAUUUUUCAUCAAAUUUGAAAAAAAAAUUUCAGGCAUUAUAUCACCAAAUAUAUAUUCUUUCCCACUCUAUCCUAUAAACCCAAUUACACAUAUGCUAUAUCACUUGAUAUUGAUGGUGUCCCAAAGGUCACUGAGCCCUUGUUCAUUUUUUUAAAAUUAUAGACUUAAUUUUUGGGAACAGUUUUAAGUUUACAGGAAAGGUGAAUGAAAUGUACAGAGAGGGCUUUACCUACCUGAUCAUUUAAAAUUUUAUGUUGGAUUCUGUUUAGUACAUUGUUGAGUACCUCGACCUUGUCUUGUAGGUGGUAUUGAAUUUUGUUCUGAUGACAGUUAAUUUAUUUGUGGAUUGACACAGCACUUUUGAAUCUUGUUUUUAAAGGUUGGAGAAGAUCUAGCCUUUGUUUUAGAUCUAGAAUAUCCAUUGUCCUAAGGUGUAGCCUCUCUUGGCUGCCAGCUGAGUACCGAGGGUCUGUGACGACUCUCCUGUCAGACUGGUUAACACUCCAGUACAUCCCAGCCCCAUGCAAGCUGCAGGAGACCUG